rnacentral:rRNA from 1 species
AGUGCAUAUGGUGGAUGCCUUGGCGACAACAGGCGAUGAAGGACGUAGUAGCCUGCGAUAAGCCUCGGGGAGUCGGCAAACAGACUUUGAUCCGAGGAUUUCCGAAUGGGGAAACCCACCGCUUCGGCGGUAUCGUACACUGAAUCCAUAGGUGUACGAGGCGAACCCGGGGAACUGAAACAUCUAAGUACCCGGAGGAAAAGAAAUCAACCGAGAUUCCCUUAGUAGCGGCGAGCGAACGGGGAGCAGCCCUUAAGCCUUGGUUAUUCUAGCGGAACGGUCUGGAAAGUCCGGCCAUAGCGGGUGAUAGCCCCGUACGCGAAAGGGUAUCCAGGGUGAAAUCGAGUAGGGCGGGACACGUGAAAUCCUGUCUGAACAUGGGGGGACCAUCCUCCAAGGCUAAAUACUCGUUGUCGACCGAUAGUGAACCAGUACCGUGAGGGAAAGGCGAAAAGAACCCCGGUGAGGGGAGUGAAAUAGAACCUGAAACCGUAUGCAUACAAGCAGUAGGAGCCCCUUCGUGGGGUGACUGCGUACCUUUUGUAUAAUGGGUCAGCGAGUUACUUUUAGUGGCAAGGUUAACCGUAUAGGGGAGCCGUAGGGAAACCGAGUCUUAAUAGGGCGACAGUCGCUAGGAGUAGACCCGAAACCAGUCGAUCUAUCCAUGGCCAGGGUGAAGGUGGGGUAACACCUGCUGGAGGCCCGAACCCACUCCCGUUGAAAAGGUAGGGGAUGAGCUGUGGAUAGGGGUGAAAGGCUAAUCAAGACUGGAGAUAGCUGGUUCUCCCCGAAAGCUAUUUAGGUAGCGCCUCGUGUCUCACUCCUGGGGGUAGAGCACUGUUACGGCUAGGGGGUCAUCCCGACUUACCAAACCGUUGCAAACUCCGAAUACCCGGAAGUGCAAUCACGGGAGACACACGGCGGGUGCUAACGUCCGUCGUGAAGAGGGAAACAACCAAAAACGCCAGAUCAGGUCCCAAAAUUAAGGCCCAGGGGUGGACGCUGGGGGAAGUCAUAUGAUGCCAGGAGGGUGGCUUAGAAGGAGCCAUACUUUAAAGAAAGGGUAUAAGGUCCACGGUGAAGUGGGCCCGCGCGGAAGAUUUAACGGGGCUCAAGUUGUGUACCGAAGCUGCGGGUGUGCACGUUAAGUGCACGCGGUAGGGGAGCGUUCCGUAGGCCUGUGAAGGUGUCCUGUAAGGGGUGCUGGAGGUAUCGGAAGUGCGAAUGCUGACAUGAGUAACGAUAAUGCGGGUGAAAAACCCGCACGCCGAAAGCCCAAGGUUUCCUGCGCAACGUUAAUCGGCGCAGGGUGAGUCGGCCCCUAAGGCGAGACUGAAAAGUGUAGUCGAUGGGAAACAGGUUAAUAUUCCUGUACCUCGCGUUACUGCGAUGGGGGGACGGAGAAGGCUAGGUCAGCCGGAGAUUGGUUGUUCCGGUUUAAGCAUGUAGGGAGUGUUCUUAGGCAAAUCCGGGGACACAAUUCUGAGAUGUGAUGACGAGCUGCUACGGCAGUGAAGUGAUUGAUGCCCUGCUUCCAGGAAAAUCCUCUAAGCUUCAGGUAACGUAAGACCGUACUGUAAACCGACACAGGUGGGCAGGGUGAGAAUCCUAAGGCGCUUGAGAGAACUCUGGAGAAGGAACUCGGCAAAUUGACACCGUAACUUCGGGAGAAGGUGUACCCCGGUAGCGUGUAGUCCCUUGCGGGCGAAGCGUGAUGGGGUUGCAGUGAAAAGGUGGCUGCGACUGUUUAACAAAAACACAGCACUCUGCAAACACGAAAGUGGACGUAUACAGUGUGACGCCUGCCCGGUGCCGGAAGGUUAAGUGAUGGGGUGCAAGCUCUUGAUCGAAGCCCCGGUAAACGGCGGCCGUAACUAUAACGGUCCUAAGGUAGCGAAAUUCCUUGUCGGGUAAGUUCCGACCUGCACGAAUGGCGUAACGAUGGCCACACUGUCUCCUCCUGAGACUCAGCGAAGUUGAAAUGGUUGUGAUGAUGCAAUCUACCCGCGGCUAGACGGAAAGACCCCGUGCACCUUUACUGCAACUUUGCAUUGGACUGUGAACCGAUCUGUGUAGGAUAGCUGGGAGGCUUUGAAGUGGGGGCGCUAGCUCUCAUGGAGCCGUCGUUGAAAUACCAGCCUGACCUGUUUGCGGUUCUAACCUUGGCUCGUAAUCCGGGUCGGGGACCGUGCAUGGUAGGCAGUUUGACUGGGGCGGUCUCCUCCCAAAGAGUAACGGAGGAGUACGAAGGUACGCUUAGCACGGUCGGAAAUCGUGCUUGAAUGUGCAUUGGCAAAAGCGUGCUUGACUGCGAGACGGACAUGUCGAGCAGGUGCGAAAGCAGGUCUUAGUGAUCCGGUGGUUCUGUAUGGAAGGGCCAUCGCUCAACGGAUAAAAGGUACUCCGGGGAUAACAGGCUGAUACCGCCCAAGAGUUCAUAUCGACGGCGGUGUUUGGCACCUCGAUGUCGGCUCAUCACAUCCUGGGGCUGUAGCCGGUCCCAAGGGUAUGGCUGUUCGCCAUUUAAAGUGGUACGCGAGCUGGGUUCAGAACGUCGUGAGACAGUUCGGUCCCUAUCUGCCGUGGGCGUUGGAGAUUUGAGGGGGGCUGCUCCUAGUACGAGAGGACCGGAGUGGACGUUCCGCUGGUGUUCGGGUUGUCAUGCCCAUGGCAUUGCCCGGUAGCUAUGAACGGAAGUGAUAACCGCUGAAAGCAUCUAAGCGGGAAGCACGCCCCAAGAUGAGAUCUCCCGAGAGCUUGACUCUCCUGAAGGCACCAUCAAGACCAGGUGGUUGAUAGGUCAGGUGUGGAAGUGCAGCAAUGCAUGGAGCUAACUGAUACUAAUGAGCCGUGCGGCUUGACC